AUGGAAUCUGUUGCUCAUGGCUGUUAGGCGACUUACAGAUCAGAUGUACUUAUCUAGCAUAUUCACAAAUGGUUUGAGUAUUCAUAAAGGAUCAGUUUAGCAUUUUAAAUGAUAAAGAAUACAUGAAUAUGGACUCUUAUCUGUACCUCGACUAUGAUGUUGUGCUAUUCUAAAACACUUUUUCAAAACUAGCCCUAACUUGCAGAAUUGUUAUAGUCCCAGCUCAGAAUCACUGUGAACAAGAGGUUUCUGAGGUUUCAGUUUAGGAGUGCACUUCAGCCUGUGAAUCCUUUGAUUUUGCACCCAUACUCUACUCUCCUCGGUCUCUGGCCCCCUGGCAACAGGCAGCGCUGGAUCAUGAAGGCAAACUGUGACGAAGUCCUUUGUAUGUGUUCAAAUGUGAACUAACACUAGCCCCUUAGACUAAGCUAAACCGCAAUACAAUAGUUUUUAUGCUGUUGCCUUUCCAGCACAUGACCGUAAGCAUCUCAAAACAAGUGUAAAUGCUGUACUCUUUCUUCAGUUUGUAUUUUGCCAAAAAGACCACUACAGAGAUGUCUUUAGUUAUCAAGCCUUUCUGGUUUACUCCACUGUUUUUUUUUAAACAAUCUGGAUGAUAUGAUUUUUCACUAUAUUAUGACACUCAAAUGGAGGCAUGCUUUUAAGACAGACCAAGUAAAUGGAUUUUGCAAUAUGUUAUAUGAAAGCACUAUAUCAUUAAUUAGAUUCCCAUUUUCAUAAUAGAGACAAUUUCCUGCAAAUAAUAUUUUUGUUAUAUUACCGAUUGUAGUAUGUAGUGUGUGUUAAAGAUGCAUUCCGCAAAAUUUUUUGAUUUGGUGGGUAUAGCAGAGCCAGGAAUAUACACUUGAAAUGACUGAUUUAUCUCUAAACUGUUGAAAAGACUGUUAAUCCAUAACAGAAACUGUAUGUCCAACAAUUGUAUUUUAUAUACCAUUUUGUUUGGUCAGCACAUGAAAUGCACGUUAUUCACUCAAUCUAUUGAUUAUUUUAUUUAAAUACGUUUUGAUCAAUGCAAGCUUCGAUUUUUGUUAAUGAACCAUCUCUUCUGUAAUCCUUGAUGUACACCAUGGCUAGGGGAAAGUUAUCAAUGUUAUUCCACCAGCUGUAAGCUUGUGUACAGAGGUUUUUGAGCUGGUAAAAUUGCCCAGUUUUCAUUUUGGAGACAUUUUAUGACCUGAGCCAACUGUAGUAAGUAAUUACUUGCUCCUCAAGUGCAAGUUUUAACUUUGUCUGACUUUGUUCACAUUUAUCCCCAUCACCUGUGAAUAAUACACAAAGGAUGUUCUCUGUGAGAUUAAUUUGUGGUUCCCGUAUUCUAUUAUUACAUGUAAAAAACAGAACCGUUCGAACUAUAAAUCUUAUCAAAGUUGAUAAGCCAAUAUUUAAGUAUAAAACAUUAGAAUCUUUCCCCCGUGUAGAAGUAUCUUAUUGGUGGGCUUGGUGCCAGAUUCAUAAGUGCAUUGUUUAUGAUUACAAUGUUUUCAAAUAAUGUAAAUUGUAUUUUGAAGGUGCUUACCAAAUGUUUGUAUAAUGUAUGAAGAAUGUUAUUAUUAUUAUUUCUUCUCAGGUACUUUGGUGGAAGACUGACAAUUUUUCUCUGUCCAAU
ensembl:lncRNA